rnacentral:lncRNA from 1 species
GAAAAGUUUCCCUCGGGAGCGGCUCGGCGGACUCGGUCUCCACCACAGCGGCCGUCAGGGACGCGGCCGCACAGGUAAGUCGCCGUCAGCGGCGGGACAGCCGGCGCUAAUCCCUCAUCAAGCAGGGAAGGAGGGAGGGCGGGAAACGGCGAGCUCCUCGCGCCCGCCCUCACCGAGCGCCCCGCAGGCUCCGUCCCCUCGGGGCGGGCAUCUCCCCCCGCAGCGGGACGGCGGGCAGGCGGCCCCGACCUGGCACCGGGAGCCCAGUUGGUGCGGGCGGGGGCCGGGCCGCUGAGUCAGAGCGGCUGGGAGGAGCCGCGACCUGCUGAGGCAAGCAGCAUGCUGACAUUUCAAUAUUCCUUCGGCUCAACAGUUCAGAGUACAGUCACAGCAAGA